GUAGGGUGCAAGCGUUAAUCGGAAUUACUGGGCGUAAAGCGUGCGCAGGCGGUUAUGCAAGACAGAGGUGAAAUCCCCGGGCUCAACCUGGGAACUGCCUUUGUGACUGCAUGGCUAGAGUACGGUAGAGGGGGAUGGAAUUCCGCGUGUAGCAGUGAAAUGCGUAGAUAUGCGGAGGAACACCGAUGGCGAAGGCAAUCCCCUGGACCUGUACUGACGCUCAUGCACGAAAGCGUGGGGGGAGCAAACAGGAUUAGAUACCCUGGUAGUCCACGCCCCUAAACGAUGUCAACUGGUUGUUGGGAGGGUUUCUUCUCAGUAACGUAGCCAACGCGUGAAGUUGACCGCCUGGGAGUACGGCCGCAAGGUUG
rnacentral:rRNA from 1 species